GCAUCACUAAGAAAUCUAUAUAGUCCUACCUCCCAGAAGAUGAGUGAAGGUGUUACAGUUAGGAUGACUGUUGACAUGAGGCUCUCAGAGGUUCACCACAAAUCGGAAGGACAAGAUUGAGAUUGCCAUUCUUACGGUCUUUCCAUAGUCUCCCCUUGCAAUUAGAAUUGACCAUCACUGGGGACCUCAUCUAUUAGAUGAAGGAUGUCUAGAAAGCCUCUGGACAGGCAGCAUGGCAGAAAUCAACUCUUUCCAAAAAAAAAAAAAAAAAA
rnacentral:lncRNA from 1 species